CAGUCGCCACGGUAAUACGUAGGGUGCGAGCGUUAAUCGGAAUUACUGGGCGUAAAGCGUGCGCAGGCGGUUUUGUAAGACAGGCGUGAAAUCCCCGGGCUCAACCUGGGAAUGGCGCUUGUGACUGCAAAGCUAGAGUGCGGCAGAGGGGGAUGGAAUUCCGCGUGUAGCAGUGAAAUGCGUGGAUAUGCGGAGGAACACCGAUGGCGAAGGCAAUCCCCUGGGCCUGCACUGACGCUCAUGCACGAAAGCGUGGGGAGCAAACAGGAUUAGAGACCCGUGUAGUCCCUGUCUCUUAUAC
rnacentral:rRNA from 1 species